CAUAUUUCGAAAUUUUUUUUUAAACUUUUGGCGGAAGAUUAUUACAGAUCUGAUGUCUGUUUUGGGAGAAAAUUUAAUUUUGUUAAGGCUUGAGCUUCCAUAGAAACGAACUCCAAAUCCUUUCUUAUGAAUCAGGGAGUAAUGCCUCCACUAGCAUAAGGAAUCCUUUUAAGAGACGAUAUCGUCCAGUAGCUUCAAAUGAGAUACUAUAUAUAGCGAUACACCCUUUGUAUUCAACAGCUCCUCCUACACAUAAGUUGGUUCUUAUUCCAGUGGCUCAUUGAGUUUCUCAGCAGAAUAAUGGCUUAUCUCAAUAUGGACAGUAAAUUAUGCAAGGAACUCAGCAACAAUAGCAACAAAAGAACCAACAUGGACAUUCAAUGCAACAAUUUAGGGGCACUUUGUACAAUAUGCAACAGCCUGCAAGAAAGGGUCAAUUGCAGCCAGCUGGUACUGGUUCAGUUUAUAACCCACUUAAUGAGAGAGACUCAUCAGCAAUGUGUUCUGCAAUCUAAUAUGCCUCCCCUGUUGGAUUAAGAAAUGGGGCAUGGGAACAAUAUGCAUGUAUCUUUUCAUCUUACUUGGUUUAAGUUUAACAUGGGAUUUAAGUUUCCAAUUAAAAUUUAGUAAGUUGUGAUCUGAAGUACUCUUACUAAAUCUAUAUAUUCUUUCCAUUUUAAUUGCAUUAGAAAGCAAAUUCAUUUUUAUAUGCA